GGGGUUGUAGUCUAGUCUGGUUAGGACUCUACCUUGGGGUGGUAGCAACCGGAGUUCAAAUCUCCGCAACCCCA
rnacentral:tRNA from 1 species